rnacentral:rRNA from 1 species
UACGAAGGGGGCUAGCGUUGUUCGGAAUCACUGGGCGUAAAGGGUGCGCAGGCGGAUCAUUAAGUCAGGGGUGAAAUCCCGAGGCUCAACCUCGGAACGGCCUUUGAUACUGGUGAUCUUGAGACCGGAAGAGGUAAGUGGAACUGCGAGUGUAGAGGUGAAAUUCGUAGAUAUUCGCAAGAACACCAGUGGCGAAGGCGGCUUACUGGUCCGGUUCUGACGCUGAGGCGCGAAAGCGUGGGGAGCAAACAGG